rnacentral:rRNA from 1 species
AAGUCCUCGUGGCCCUUAUGGGUAGGGCUUCACACGUCAUACAAUGGUCGGUACAGAGGGUUGCCAACCCGCGAGGGGGAGCUAAUCCCACAAAGCCGAUCGUAGUCCGGAUCGCAGUCUGCAACUCGACUGCGUGAAGUCGGAAUCGCUAGUAAUCGUGGAUCAGCAUGUCACGGUGAAUACGUUCCCGGGUCUU